UCUCCUGCCAUUCAAAACGGGUGCCUUUUUGUCGAAAGCCCCUGUCCUUCCAUAUAUUUUAAGAUAUCCCUAUCAGAGAUUUAGUCUGGCCUGGGAAUCAAUAACAGGAGGCCGUCAUUUUUUACUUCUUCUCUGUCAAUUUGUAAAUCACAUGGAGGUAAUAAGAUUGCCUGUCUACGUUCCAUCACCAGAAGAAAAGGAUGAUCCGAAGCUUUAUGCUAAUAAUAUCAGAAGGUUGAUGGCGAAAGAG
rnacentral:misc_RNA from 1 species